rnacentral:rRNA from 1 species
UAGGGAAUAUUGGUAAUGUGCGAAAGCGCGAACCAGCAACGCCGCGUGCACGAUGAAGGCCUUCGGGUCGUAAAGUGCUUUUAGAGAGGAUGAGGAAGGACAGUACUUUCUGAAUAAGCCUCGGCUAACUACGUGCCAGCAGCCGCGGUAAAACGUAGGAGGCAAGCGUUAUCCGGAUUUACUGGGCGUAAAGCGCAUGCAGGUGGUUUUGUAAGUUGGAUGUGAGAGCUCCUGGCUUAACUGGGAGAGGUCGUUCAAAACUACAAGACUUGAGAUUGGUAGAGGAAAAUGGAAUUCCGGGUGUAGUGGUGAAAUGCGUAGAUAUCCGGAGGAACACCAGUGGCGAAAGCGGUUUUCUGGACCAAUCCUGACACUCAGAUGCGAAAGCUAAGGUAGCAAACG